rnacentral:rRNA from 1 species
UCUUUCUUUGCUGGCGACCGGCGCACGGGUGAGUAACACGUAUCCAACCUGCCCUUUACUCGGGGAUAGCCUUUCGAAAGAAAGAUUAAUACCCGAUAGUAUAAUGAUUCCGCAUGGUUUCAUUAUUAAAGGAUUCCGGUAAAGGAUGGGGAUGCGUUCCAUUAGGUUGUUGGUGAGGUAACGGCUCACCAAGUCUUCGAUGGAUAGGGGUUCUGAGAGGAAGGUCCCCCACAUUGGAACUGAGACACGGUCCAA